UUGCUGGAGGUAUCAGAAGUGCGAAUGCUGACAUGAGUAACGAUAAUGCGGGUGAAAAACCCGCACGCCGGAAGACCAAGGGUUCCUAUCCCAUGUUAAUCAGGGUAGGGUAAGUCGACCCCUAAGGCGAGGCCGAAAGGCGUAGUCGAUGGGAAACGGGUUAAUAUUCCCGUACUUGGUAUAAUUGCGAUGGGGGGACGGAGCAGGCUAAACAAGCAUGGCGUUGGUUGUCCAUGUGAAAGUGAGUAGGUUGGUGACUUAGGAAAAUCCGGGUUGCUAAGACUGAGACACGAGACGAGCACCCAAGGGUGUGAAGUUGUUGAUGCCAUACUUCCAGGAAAAGCCUCUAAGCUUCAGAUUAUACCGAAUCGUACCCCAAACCGACACAGGUGGUCAGGUAGAGAAUACUAAGGCGCUUGAGAGAACUCGGGUGAAGGAACUAGGCAAAAUUGUACCGUAACUUCGGGAGAAGGUACGCUCCUAUCUGUGAUGAGACUUGCUCUCUAAGCGGACGGGAGCCGCAGUGACCAGGUGGCUGGGACUGUUUAUUAAAAACAC
rnacentral:rRNA from 1 species